rnacentral:rRNA from 1 species
AGCGCCACAAGUGGGAGCCACAAUUAUUUGGCCUAAAGCGUCCGUAGCUGGCUUUGUAAAUCUUUUGUGAAAUCGGAAAGCUUAACUUUCCGGCGUGCAGAAGACACUGCAUUGCUUGAGACCGGGAGGGGUAAGGAGUAUUUCCAGGGAACCGGUAAAAUGGGAUAAUCCUGGAAGGACUACCUGUGGCGAAGGCGCCUUACCAGAACGGGUCUGACAGUGAGGGACGAAGGCUAGGGGAGCGAACCG